rnacentral:rRNA from 1 species
UUUUCCCUACGGGGCGCAGCAGUGGGGAAUAUUGCACAAUGGGGGAAACCCUGAUGCAGCGACGCCGCGUGAGCGAUGAAGUAUUUCGGUAUGUAAAGCUCUAUCAGUAGGGAAGAAAAUGACGGUACCUGACUAAGAAGCCCCGGCUAACUACGUGCCAGCAGCCGCGGUAAUACGUAGGGGGCAAGCGUUAUCCGGAUUUACUGGGUGUAAAGGGAGCGUAGACGGCGAUGCAAGUCUGAAGUGAAAGGCGGGGGCCCAAC